UAAUACGUAGGCAGCGAGCGUUGUUCGGAGUUACUGGGCGUAAAGCGUGCGUAGGCGGCGGCCCAAGUCUGGUGUGAAAUCUCCCGGCUUAACCGGGAGGGUGCGCUAGAAACUGGGUUGCUGGAGUACCGGAGAGGCAGGCGGAAUUCCUGGUGUAGCGGUGAAAUGCGUAGAUAUCAGGAGGAACACCCGUGGUGUAGACGGCCUGCUGGACGGUCACUGACGCUGAGGCACGAAAGCGUGGGGAGCAAACAGGAUUAGAUACCCUGGUAGUCCACGCCCUAAACGAUGCAUACUUGGUGUGGGCAGUUCAGUCUGUCCGUGCCGAAGCUAACGCGAUAAGUAUGCCGCCUGGGGAGUACGGUCGCAAGGCUG
rnacentral:rRNA from 1 species